rnacentral:rRNA from 1 species
GGCCUACGGGGGGCAGCAGUAGGGAAUCCUCCACAAUGGGCGAAAGCCUGAUGGAGCAACGCCGCGUGGGUGAAGAAGGUCUUCGGAUCGUAAAACCCUGUUGUUAGAGAGGAAAGUGCGUGAGAGUAACUGUUCACGUUUCGACGGUAUCUAACCAGAAAGCCACGGCUAACUACGUGCCAGCAGCUGCGGUAAUACGUAGGUGGCAAGCGUUAUCUGGAUUUAUUGGGCGUAAAGGGAACGCAGGCGGUCUUUUAAGUCUGAUGUGAAAGCCUUCGGCUUAACCGGAGUAGUGCAUUGGAAAC